AUACGGAGGGUGCAAGCGUUAAUCGGAAUUACUGGGCGUAAAGCGCGCGUAGGCGGUUUAGUAAGUCGGAUGUGAAAGCCCUGGGCUUAACCUGGGAAUGGCAUUCGAUACUGCUUGACUAGAGUAUGGUAGAGGGAAGUGGAAUUUCCGGUGUAGCGGUGAAAUGCGUAGAUAUCGGAAGGAACACCAGUGGCGAAGGCGACUUCCUGGGCCAAUACUGACGCUGAGGUGCGAAAGCGUGGGGAGCAAACCGGAUUAGAUACCCGAGUAGUCC
rnacentral:rRNA from 1 species